AGACUGCCUCUGGCUCAUACUGGGUGUUUGGCCUUCUACUCACAUGAAAACGGCCUAUGGACAAACAUCUUGCUCCUGCCUGAUUGUUUUCCUUACAGAUUCUGAGUGGGGACACAGCCUGCCAGGGCGAAUUGUCCCACCCCUGCAGCACAACUCACCUCCACCUAAGGAGCGAGCAGCCACCGGCUUCUUUGGGUUUCUAAGCUCUCUCUUCCCGUUUCGAUAUUUCUUCAGGAAGAGCAGCCACUCUUGAGCCUUCCAAAUGCAGCGCUGGAAAGAGGAUCAUCUCUUGUAGUGACUCCUCCCGAGCCAUUCUUCCUCCAACUCUAUCCUUUUCUUAUGACACUUCAGUCGUGGGGAAUGAGGUCCCCAUGCUGAGUCCUCUGUGGUUUUAUCGUGUCCUUUGCCCCUUUAUAAUAGAUUUUUUCCCCCAAUUUAAAACAUUAAGAAUGGAACUUUCUAAAAUGUUCAUGUCCUGAGGGCCGGUUUAGGCCUUUUGUCUUCGGCACUUAGGAUCCUAAUGACAAUAAAUUAUUUAUGAAGAGUU
rnacentral:lncRNA from 1 species